GGUUAAGCGACUAAGCGUACACGGUGGAUGCCCUGGCAGUCAGAGGCGAUGAAGGACGUGCUAAUCUGCGAUAAGCGUCGGUAAGGUGAUAUGAACCGUUAUAACCGGCGAUUUCCGAAUGGGGAAACCCAGUGUGUUUCGACACACUAUCAUUAACUGAAUCCAUAGGUUAAUGAGGCGAACCGGGGGAACUGAAACAUCUAAGUACCCCGAGGAAAAGAAAUCAACCGAGAUUCCCCCAGUAGCGGCGAGCGAACGGGGAGCAGCCCAGAGCCUGAAUCAGUGUGUGUGUUAGUGGAAGCGUCUGGAAAGGCGCGCGAUACAGGGUGACAGCCCCGUACACAAAAAUGCACAUAUUGUGAGCUCGAUGAGUAGGGCGGGACACGUGGUAUCCUGUCUGAAUAUGGGGGGACCAUCCUCCAAGGCUAAAUACU
rnacentral:rRNA from 1 species